UUAAAUGAAGAAGAGCGUACGGUGGAUGUCUGGGCAUACAGAGCAGAAGAAGGACGCAGCAAACGGCGAAACGCCUCGGGGAGUCGUAAACAGGCAACGAUCCGGGGGAAUCCGAAUGGGGCAACCCGAUACCGGUAAUGCGGUAUCAUCCACAAGUGAAUACAUAGCUGGUGAGAAGAGAACCCGGGGAAUUGAAACAUCUUAGUACCCGGAGGAGAAGAAAACAAACGUGAUUCCGAGAGUAGUGGCGAGCGAAAUCGGAGAAGCCUAAACCAGUCAAAGGGCUGGGGUUGAAGGACCGUAAGAAGUCGAAUUGAAGGAUAGUCGAAUGAGAAUGAAAGCUCAGUCGAAGAAGGUGCAAACCCUGUAGACGAAAUCCGAAGAGGAGGCGAGCGGUAUCCUGAGUACGUCGGGGCACGAGGAACCCAGACGGAAGCGACCGGGACCAUCCGGUAAGGCUAAAUACUCCUGUAUGACCGAUAGUGAACCAGUACCAUGAGGGAAAGAUGAAAAGAACCGCGGGAGCGGAGUGAAAUAGAUCCUGAAACCGUAUGCUUACAAGAAGUCAGAGCACAUUAAAGUGUGAUGGCGUGCCUUUUGUAGAAUGAACCGGCGAGUUAUCCUUGCAUGCGAGGUUAAGCAGACAAUGCGGAGCCGAAGCGAAAGCGAAUCUGAAUAGGGUGAAGAGUAUGAAGGGAUAGACCCGAAGCUGUAGUGAUCUAGUCAUGAGCAGGUUGAAGGAUGGGUGAAACCAUCUGGAGGACCGAACCGACCCCCGUUGAAACGUUGGCGGAUGACUUGUGAUUAGCGGAGAAAUUCCAAUCGAACACAGCGAUAGCUGGUUCUCCCCGAAAUAGCUUUAGGGCUAGCGUGGGGGAAAAGCGGUGGGAGGUAGAGCACUGAAAUCACGCGGGUGGCACCUAGCCAUACCAACUGAUAUCAAACUCCGAAUGCCGACCGAAGACCCCCCUGCAGUCAGACUACGAGUGAUAAGGUCCGUGGUCAAAAGGGAAACAGCCCAGAUCAACAGAUAAGGUCCCAGAAUCUACGCUAAGUGGAAAAGGAAGUGGAGAGGCGUAAACAGCUAGGAGGUUAGCUCAGAAGCAGCGAUCCUUGAAUGAGUGCGUAACAGCUCACUAGUCGAGUAUCUCUGCGCCGAAAAUUAACCGGGGCUAAGCGUAGUACCGAAUCUUUGAAUCUAUAUGAAGAAUAUAGGAGGUAGGGGAGCGUUCCAUAGAGCAUAGAAGCCAUACCGAGAGGAGUGGUGGAGCGUAUGGAAGUGAGAAUGCCGGUGUGAGUAGCGAGAAAUCGGUGAGAAUCCGAUUCAGCGUAAGUCCAAGGUUUCCAGGGGAAGGUUCGUCCGCCCUGGGUAAGCCGGGAACUAAGGCGAGGCCGAAAGGCGUAGUCGAUGACCAGCAGGUUGAAAAUCCUGCGCACGGCUGAUGAGUGAAGGAGUGACAGAGAAGGAAAGCAUGAGCCCUGAACGGAUUGGGCAUUUCAUGGGGAUAGCAGGCUGAUAGGGAAAGCCGUCAGCGAAAUGUAAGCCAUGAGACGAGCGAACGGGCGACCAAGUAGCGAAGAGUGUGAAUCCAGCUCUCAAGAAAAGCUUCUAGCGAUAAUGAUCAGUUGUCCCGUACCAAAACCGACACAGGUGGACGAGGCGAAUAGCCUAAGCUGAGCGAGAGAACUGUUGCCAAGGAACUCGGCAAAUUGACCCCGUACGUUCGCAAGAAGGGGUACUCGAAAGAGUCGCAGUAAAAAGGCCCUAGCAACUGUUUAACUAAAACACAGCUCUCUGCCAAGUCGCAAGACGAAGUAUAGGGGGUGACACCUGCCCGGUGCUGGAAGGUCAAAAGGAAGUGUUCGGAGAAAUCCAAAGCACGGAAUUGAAGCCCCAGUGAACGGCGGCCGUAACUAUAACGGUCCUAAGGUAGCGAAAUUCCUUGUCAGGUAAGUUCUGACCCGCACGAAAGGUGUAAUGAUUUGGGCACUGUCUCAACAAUGUACCCGGCGAAAUUGUAGUACUAGUGAAGAUGCUAGUUACCUGCGACAAGACGGAAAGACCCCAUGGAGCUUUACUAUAGCCUGAUAUUGGGCUUUGGUAUCUUAUGUACAGGAUAGGUGGGAGACUAUGAGAUUAAGACGCAAGUCUUAAAGGAGUCAACCUUGGAAUACCACCCUUAAGAUAUUAGAGUUCUAACUUGUGAUCAUAAACUGGUCAGAGGACAUUGUCAGGUGGGUAGUUUGACUGGGGCGGUCACCUCCUAAAGAGUAACGGAGGUGCGCAAAGGUUUCCUCGGCACGGUCAGAAAUCGUGCUAAUGAGUGUAAAGGCAUAAGGAAGCUUAACUGAGAGAGAGACAUCUCGAGCAGAUACGAAAGUAGGUCUUAGUGAUCCGGUGGUAGAAAAUGGAAUUGCCAUCGCUCAACGGAUAAAAGUUACCCUGGGGAUAACAGGCUUAUCUCCCCCAAGAGUUCACAUCGACGGGGAGGUU
rnacentral:rRNA from 1 species